CGGCAAAGAUGAACAUGAAGAGCUUGUAGACAAUGAGGAUGUUGAAGACGUUCUUGAGGGAGUUCACCACACAGUCAAACACUGCCUACAAAGGAAGCCAAGGAGAGAAUACAGAUACAAUGGGAAAUAGCCCCUGCAGCAAAAACGAGCAAUUUUUCCAACUCAUGAUACUGUACUAAUAUCAGCUGAACUUUGUUCAAUUACAACCUUCCAGACGGUGAACAUUUCCCAUAUCAGCUGAGGUCAAGAAUCAC